rnacentral:rRNA from 1 species
AUUACUCCUACGGGAGGCAGCAGUGGGGAAUAUUGGACAAUGGGCGCAAGCCUGAUCCAGCCAUGCCGCGUGAGUGAAGAAGGCCUUCGGGUUGUAAAGCUCUUUCGGCUGGGAAGAAAUCGCAUCUCCUAAUACGGGGUGUGGAUGACGGUACCAGCAUAAGAAGCACCGGCUAACUACGUGCCAGCAGCCGCGGUAAUAAU